AUCCAGCUGACGAGUCCCAAAUAAGACAUAACGCGCUUCCUGAAU
rfam:Schistosoma mattheei strain Denwood, Zambia genome assembly, scaffold: SMTD_scaffold0001677